rnacentral:rRNA from 1 species
ACUCAUAGGAGACUGCCGGGGUCAACUCGGAGGAAGGUGGGGAUGACGUCAAAUCAUCAUGCCCCUUAUGUCUUGGGCUUCACGCAUGUUACAAUGGCCAGUACAAAGGGCUGCGAUACCGUAAGGUGGAGCGAAUCCCAAAAAACUGGUCUCAGUUCGGAUUGGGGUCUGCAACUCGACCCCAUGAAGUCGGAGUCGCUAGUAAUCGCAGAUCAGCAACGCUGCGGUGAAUACGUUCCCGGGCCUUGUACACACCGCCCGUCAAGUCACGAAAGUCGGUAACACCCGAAGCCGGUGGCCUAACCCUUUUGGGGAGGAGCCGUCGAAGGUGGGACUGGCGAUUGGGACUAAGUCGUAACCAAGGUAAC